UCCCUCUCAACGUCACACUUGGAGAGUUUCCAGUACUCUACCAGUCUUGGCUACAGGAAGGAGAGUCAAGCAGAGUUAUACCCAUUCCAUUCCUAGCUUGGGCAGUGGCUAGCGAGUGGAAUGAAAUCUGCUACAAGU
rfam:Ornithorhynchus anatinus chromosome X5, whole genome shotgun sequence.